rnacentral:rRNA from 1 species
AUUGAACGCUGGCGGCAUGCUUUACACAUGCAAGUCGAACGGUAACAGGCUUUCGGGUGCUGACGAGUGGCGAACGGGUGAGUAAUGCAUCGGAACGUGCCCAGAGGUGGGGGAUAAUGCAGCGAAAGCUGUGCUAAUACCGCAUGUGAUCUGAGGAUGAAAGCGGGGGACAAGGCAGCAAUUUUUGGCCUCGCGCCUUUGGAGCGGCCGAUGUCAGAUUAGGUAGUUGGUGGGGUAAAGGCCUACCAAGCCGACGAUCUGUAGCUGGUCUGAGAGGACGACCAGCCACACUGGGACUGAGACACGGCCCAGACUCCUACGGGAGGCAGCAGUGGGGAAUUUUGGACAAUGGGCGCAAGCCUGAUCCAGCAAUGCCGCGUGCGGGAAGAAGGCCUUCGGGUUGUAAACCGCUUUUGUACGGAACGAAAAGGCUCUGGCUAAUACCUGGGGCUUAUGACGGUACCGAAAGAAUAAGCACCGGCUAACUACGUG